CAGGGACACAAACACUGUGGAAGGCGGCAGGGCCCUCUGCCUAGGAAAACCAGAGACCUUUGUUCACAUGUUUAUCUGCUGACCUUCCCUCCACUAUUGUCCUAUGCCCUGCCAAAUCCCCCUCUCCGAGAAACACCCAAGAAUGAUCAAUAAAUACUAAAAAAAAAAAAAAAAAAAAAAGACUGCCAUGUCACUGGGAGGUAGGCUACAGCAGAAACACCAUAGAGGCAACAGAAAUCAUUCUAAUGGCACUACUAGUCUAUAGCCAAUAUAUUUGCUCCUAAUCAACCUGGAAAUGGCCCGUGAGUCCAUCUGUAUCCUAGGUCUAGAAAGACACAGGCCUAAACUCAAUUAUAGGAAAAGAAGCCACCUUAGUAUAAUUCCAUUGCUCCCAAAAAAGAUUAAUUUUAAUUUCAAAAUGAAUCCAGAGUAGGCAGAAACCAAUUGCAUCCAGAAUCAUCACAUAAGACUUCAUCUACACCUGGUUGGAAAUAUUUAAAGCAAGUCAUAAAACAUCACCACUUUAGUGAUUCAUCUAGAUUGAUUAUUGUCCUUGAAAAUAAGGGGAUCUCUUGAGAAAAAUAGGUGGAUUAAUGAAGUCACUUGCCUAAGUUGGAAAUCAGGUAGUAUGGCUUUAGAGUUUCUGCUCUGGACUUCUGUACUAAAUAGUCCCUCCCUUAGUGGACUGCUCCAUUCUCCUCCCUGCUGAGGAGAAACAAACAUGUCUGACAAAGUAGAGGGCCCACUUGCAUCCCACUGAUAAUCUCAACCAUUCUUCUGAAGAACUGCCACUGCCGGCUCCUCUUACUUGUUCCAAAUCUGGUUUGAGAGUGGUCACCUCAUUCUAUGCCUUCCUCGACAUUGUGGUCAAGAGUGGUAUGUCCUGUUUGGAAAACAGAUACUGAUUUCUGCACAUGCUUUCUUUGGUCUGUCAUAUGUGUCUCUCAAUUUGUAAUUCAAAUUGGACUUUAUAAUGGUAAACUUCUAAAGGGCAGGAACGUGUUUCCUAGCUUUGUGUGUGUGUGUGCAUUUCCCACCAUAAUGAGCAAACCAUAGUCGUUUUAUGAUGUUUUAUUAAUAUGCACUUAAAGUUAUUCUUUUGGUAUGCCUGUGUAUUUUUUGCAUAUGCUCUUACAUAAUAGUAAAGUAUCGCAUUUAGCAGAGAGGUAAUAGACUUUUUUUUUUUUUUUUUGAGACGGAGUCUCGCCCUGUCGCCCAGGCUGGAAUGCAGUGGUGCGAUCUCAGCUCACUGCAACCUCCGCCUCCCGGGUUCAACCUAUUCUCCUGCCCCAGCCUCCCAAGUAGCUGGGAUCACAGGCGCGCGCCACUACGCCCAGCUAAUUUUUGUAUUUUUAGUGGAGACGGGGUUUCACUAUGUUGGUCAGGCUGGUCUCGAACUCUUGACCUCGUGAUCCGCCCGCCUGGGCCUCCCAAAGUGCUGGGAUUACAGGCGUGAGCCAUCACGCCCAGCCAGACUUUUAUAUUUAAAGCUUCCUUUUUUCAUCCUCCAAGUUGUUCUGAAAUUAUCUAACAUGAUCCUCUUACUUUACUACCAGAUACUAGUUCAUCAGGGUGACAUAGGAUUUUAUUUCUUACAUCCUUUUUUGUUUUUGUUUUUAAGGAUGGGGACUUCCUCUGUCACCCAGGCUGGAGCACAGUGGCACAAUCAUAGCUCACUAUAACCUUGAGCUCCUGGGCUCAGGUGAUCCUCCCAUCACAGCCUCCUGAGUAGCUGGGACUACAGGUGUGCACCACCAUGCCUGACUAACUUUCAUACAUUUUUACAAAAUGAAUUAUGUAACACAACUUCACUAGCCUAUGUGGGUCACCUUUCUCUAUAAUUGCUAAAUAAAAAGGAUAAGAGCCUUCAUCCAAGGGAAUGCAGGGAGUCUAGUCCCACCCCUAGAUUUUAUGAAGAUAGUAAAUUCUCAUGUUUCACAAAUCCAUCAUGGGUGUUUUGGGUCAACUCCCUCUGGGCUGCUACAUCAGAUUUCUCCACUGAUCACGCUGGCUGGAGGCUAUUUAGUCUCCCCAGAAUAUAGACACAGAUUCCGCCAAAAACAUAGAAAUGGAUGCCCUCAGACCAGCCUGGCCAAUAUGGCAAAACCCCAUCUCUACUGAAAAUACAAAAAUUAGCCGGGUUUGGUGGCGCGCCCCUGUGGUCCCAGCUACUCAGGAGGCUGAGGCAGGAGAACUGCUUGAACCCAGAAGGUGGAGACUGCAGUGAGCUGAGAUCAUGCCACUGCACUCCAGCCUGAGCGACAGAGUGAGACUCCUUCUCAAAAAAAAAAAAAAGAAAGAAAGAAGAAAUGGAUCCCCCCACACCUUGAAUUCAGAAAAUACUACUAACCAACAUUUUAGCAUAUUUUACUAAGGCUUGAAGAAGUUGCAAGGGAUUAUAAUAAAGAAAAGGAAAAUAUGAAUGUUUAUGUGAGAUGUUCAUCCUAGAACCUAGAGUCUAUUGGCAUGCCAUUUCAAAGGGACUCUUCAGGCAGACUCUUUCUUUGGGCCCCAGGCUUCUGGGAUGUUCACAGAAACCAUUUAACAUUCUCAAGAUAAAAGCUCUUCUUUUCUAUCUCUCCUCUCACAAAUAACAUAUCCCCAAGCCCUGUCUUAGGCUCAGCUAGAAGAGGCAGAGCCAGGUCAUGUAACCAAAGUGUCUUCCAAGAGACAGUUACCCCCAAAAGAAUUCAGCAGACUUAGUAUCUAUUUGGGGAUGACUUUAUCAAUGGGCUUCCCCAAAGGUAAUUGUGGGCACUUAAUUUACAAAUACCCACCUUUAAAAAUUGCUAUUUACUUAAUUAAUUUACAGAUACUUUGCUCAUGAUAUAUGAGUCCUCUCUAAACAAAGGAAGGUGGUAAACCCCAAGACAAAUACACAUUCCCACCAUUUGUGGAGGAGUUGCAGGGAGGAAUGCUUGGUGGUUUCGAAUAUUUUAUCCCCUUUUCCAACCAUCGAGAAUUUCUAUCAGGACCCAUAGUCCUAGAUUACCGCCACAAUAGCAUCAUUAACAUUUUUAAAGCAUGACUAUUUCUAUAUGAGUCUUCCCUUCUUAGACAAAAAGGCAUUAAAGGCUUGUAUUUCCCUAUUUUCUUACAUUCAAGCACUAUCCUAUCACAAUUAAACUUAUUGGCUUAUUCCUAAGAGCCUUCAUGUUUGUAUUCUUGGAGCAUUAAACUGCCGUUAAAUUUGGGAGGUAUUAAGUUAGUAAGGGAUUGGCUUACGAACCACUUCAGAAGUAGCCUUCAGAAAGGUAUUUAUUGCCAGGCAUGGUGGCUCAGACCUGUAAUUCCAACACUUUGGGAGGCUGGAGGAUCACUUGAGCCUAGGGUUUCAAGAUCAGCCUCUGCAACAUAGCGAGACCUCGUCUCUACUAAAAAUAAAAAUUAAAAAAUUACCUGGACUUGAUGUCAUGCACCUGCAGUCCCAGCUAUUCAGGAGAGUGAGGUGGGAGGAUCAUGCGAGCCUGGCAGUCUGAGGUUGCAGUGAGCCAUGAUGGCACCACUGCACUCCAACCUGGGUGACAGAGUGAGAGCCUGUCUCAAAAAAAAAAAAAAAAAAAGAAAGAAAGAAAGAAAGAAACGAAAAGAAAAGCACUUAUUACCAGGAAAAAGGGUAGGGGAUAUGCGGCAUUUUGUUAGUAAAAGAGUCACUGAAAAAAAAUCUGCGAACCACUGUUUCAAGGGAAGCUUGUACUUAUUCACCCAUUGAACUUUGUCAUCUUCUGAUGGGUGUGGUAGGCUUACUCAUAAAGAAAAGAAAGACUCCUAGAAAUUUCUCUAUUCUUAUCUUGAAUUCUGGUUGUUCCUGCAAUACAGAGCUAGUAUUUAAUUAUUUGGUCUACUUUCUUUGUGUACUACAAAUUCUGUAAUAUUGGGAACAUUAACCAAUUCAGUAAGAGUUGAAGGAAGAGAGAAUACAGAGCUAGUAUUUAAUUAUUUGGUCUACUUUCUUUGUGUACUACAAAUUCUGUAAUAUUGGGAACAUUAACCAAUUCAGUAAGAGUUGAAGGAAGAGAGGGGACUUUACAUAUAUACAUACAUAUAUA
rnacentral:lncRNA from 1 species